UACGUAGGGGGCAAGCGUUGUUCGGAAUUACUGGGCGUAAAGGGCGCGUAGGCGGUCCGCUAAGUUAGAUGUGAAAACUCUGGGCUCAACCCAGAGCCUGCAUCUAAUACUGACGGGCUAGAGUUCUGGAGGGGGUAGCGGAAUUCCUGGUGUAGCGGUGAAAUGCGUAGAUAUCUGGAGGAACACCGGUGGCGAAGGCGGCAUCCUGGACCGACACUGACGCUGAGGAGCGAAAGCCAGGGGAGCAAACGGG
rnacentral:rRNA from 1 species